CCUAGAGACCCCUAUCAUCUAACUGCCGUACACCCAGAUCUUUGCACCAAGACCACCUCCAACUAAAGUUGGAUUAGUAAAUCAUGCAUCCAAACCUUCCACCUCGACAAACAUCCCUUUCCGUCAAUCCUCUCAGCCUCCACUUUCAACUCACUACUCCCGAUUGGUAAAACCAUAGCAUAAAUGAAAGUAGAUCUGGACAUAUCAUGGAAUAGGUGUGCAGAUUUCUAAUUUUACAUUGUAUGAC
rnacentral:lncRNA from 1 species